GGAAGCAGACACAAAGUGUCCCUCUCCUCUGCGCUGGGUCCAUCUUCUCCAUCCCCAGGGGAGCAGAAGGUGCUUUGCUGACAUUUAUGAGGAAAACUCUUGACUGAAUACACAGGUUUGGAAUAACAUCAUUCUCUGAUCCUAGAAGCCAGGGUUUUGUAGCAGUGUGCUACCUAAAGGAAUCUAAGGGAUCAAUCGCUGCAGCUUCUCUGACAUUGCUUCUCUGUUGCCUGUCCUGCUUACUCUUCCAGUGGGAAACACCAUGAGCACUAACCAGCGAAAGCGCCGUGGAGAAGCAGCUGAUUCUGGUCAAGCUCAGAAACGCAGCAGGCUGCUGGCUCCCAGCACAGGUGGAGCUUCUGAG